rnacentral:rRNA from 1 species
CGGAGGGUGCAAGCGUUGUUCGGAUUUAUUGGGCGUAAAGCGCGUGUAGGCGGUUUCUUAAGUCUGAUGUGAAAGCCCUGGGCUCAACCCAGGAAGUGCAUUGGAUACUGGGAGACUUGAAUACGGGAGAGGGUAGUGGAAUUCCUAGUGUAGGAGUGAAAUCCGUAGAUAUUAGGAGGAACACCGGUGGCGAAGGCGGCUACCUGGACCGAUAUUGACGCUGAGACGCGAAAGCGUGGGGAGCAAACAGGAUUAGGUACCCUGGUAGUCCACGCCGUAAACGAUGAGAACUAGGUGUUGCGGGUAUUGACCCCUGCAGUGCCGCAGCUAACGCAUUAAGUUCUCCGCCUGGGAAGUACGGUCGCAAGACUA